CAAUAGCGUAUAUUAAUGUUGUUGCAGUUAAAAGCUCGUAGUUGGAUUUCUGACAAGAGCGGCCGGUCCGAACCUUCGGGUUCGUGUACUUUGUGUUGUCUCUAGUCAUCCUUAUGGAGAACGUGUGUGGCAUUAACUUGUCGUGCUCGGGACCCAUAUCGUUUACUGUGAAAAAUUAGAGUGUUCAAAGCAGGCAAUCGCUGUGAAUACAUUAGCAUGGAAUAAUAAGAUAGGACUUUGGUACUAUUUUGUUGGUUUGCAUACCAAGGUAAUGAUUAAGAGGGACAGUUGGGGGUAUUCGUAUUUAUAUGUCAGAGGUGAAAUUCUUGGAUUUUAGAAAGACGAACUACUGCGAAAGCAUUUACCAAGGAUGUUUUCAUUAAUCAAGAACGAAAGUUAGGGGAUCGAAGACGAUUAGAU
rnacentral:rRNA from 1 species